GGCUUUGUAGCUCGGCUGGUAGAGCGUGCUCGUACAAAGCGUAAGCAGCGUCCAUGCGUGGGUUCGAAUCCCACCGAGGCCA
rfam:Echinostoma caproni strain Egypt genome assembly, scaffold: ECPE_scaffold0004382